GACGAACGCUGGCGGCGUGCUUAACACAUGCAAGUCGAACGGAAAGGCCCUGCUUUUGUGGGGUGCUCGAGUGGCGAACGGGUGAGUAACACGUGAGUAACCUGCCCUUGACUUUGGGAUAACUUCAGGAAACUGGGGCUAAUACCGGAUAGGAGCUCCUGCUGCAUGUGGGGGUUGGAAAGUUUCGGCGGUUGGGGAUGGACUCGCGGCUUAUCAGCUUGUUGGUGGGGUAGUGGCUUACCAAGGCUUUGACGGGUAGCCGGCCUGAGAGGGUGACCGGCCACAUUGGGACUGAGAUACGGCCCAGACUCCUACGGGAGGCAGCAGUGGGGAAUAUUGCACAAUGGGCGGAAGCCUGAUGCAGCAACGCCGCGUGCGGGAUGACGGCCUUCGGGUUGUAAACCGCUUUCGCCUGUGUCGAAGCGUGAGUGACGGUAAUGGGUAAAGAAGCACCGGCUAACUACGUG
rnacentral:rRNA from 1 species